GUGUGACUGGCAGGUGCUUCUGCGCAGCUGUUGCUCAUCAGGGAGCAAUCAACCUGGGCUUUAAGAAGAGUGGAAAACCAGAUGGAGGCGUCAGCUCGUUGUCUCACAUAGCGUGGAAGACGUUUUUGCCAGAGAUUCUGUGGAUCUUUUGUGCACACAGUUAAUUCUUGCCAUGUCCUGAGGUUCAAGGUAAUUCAAGCCUCGAUGUCUCAUCUGUGAGCCUCCACUCUGCCUCCUUCCCGGACCCAGGUUUCUUGAGCUUUGAUUCACCUGCUUCUGAGAACCUUCCAUCUACCUGUCCACCCUCCCACGGAAAUAACCCCUUUAUGGAAAGGAUCAAAAGAAACAAAGAAACACUGAGUCUGAAGAACCUGGAAACACGUUCCCUUCAGCUGUCCCCAUCUGCCAACCUCAACCAUUGUGGAACAGAAUUAUUCCUCCCAGGUUUAGCUGAGAGUUCUGCCUUCGUAAGUCAAAACCCAAGAAACUGUUUAGUAUUUAUGCCAUCUUAUGCAGGACUUCUCUAAGCCUCUUUUCUCCCUCAGCGAGACCCCAAUCCUGUCGCUGAUCCAGUCCUGGUUCCUGAUCACAUUUACUCCUAUAAAACCUAAUAAAUUGUUAAAAUGUU